rnacentral:rRNA from 1 species
UGAAUNUAUCACAAUNCACNCCGCGAACCAUCAUUGUUGCCUUCUGAAGUGGGUCAAACCGCUUCAGAGCCGGGGGUCGUAAGCUGAAACAUGCUUGCGUGCCUCCGGGUCGUCUGGCAUGCGCUUGCCGCAUGCUUGGGCGUCGGUCUUAUACUAACCAACCAACACCAAACCAAAUCUAAUCUAUAAACCGAGUGCUUGGCUUAGAGCCAACGCUCACCAACCAAGACAACUCUCAACAACGGAUAUCUUGGCUCUCGGAUCGAUGAAGAACGCAGCGAAAUGCGAUACGUAGUGUGAAUUGCAGAAAUACGUGAAUCAUCGAAUCUUUGAACGCAAAUUGCGCUCGAGGCUUCGGCCAAGAGCAUGUCUGCCUCAGCGUCGGGUUAAUACUCGCUCCUAAUCCACCUUCGGGUUGAUUGGGAACGGAACUGGCUUUCCCGGCUUGGUUCAUUCUAAGCCGGGUCUGCUGAAGUGCAGAGGUUGAUGCAUGGACCCGCUAAAGGGCCUCUACUGGGUAGGCAAUUCAUUGCUAAUGCUUUAGUAGAUGGCUUGGGUAGAUGCCUGUCGACCCUAACCAGGAACUUGGAGCCUUGCGCUCUAAGCAACCCCCUUAUUUUCUCNACCUGANCUCAGGCAANAACACCCGCUGANCU